rnacentral:rRNA from 1 species
CCUGGUUCGGGGAGGUAGUGACGAUAGAUAACGACGCGGACUUCUCCAAAGAGGAUCCGCGAUCGGAAUGAGCGCAGAUCAAAUGCUUCGUAUAUCGAGGAUCGAUUGGAGGGCAAGUCUGGUGCCAGCAGCCGCGGUAAUACCAGCUCCGAAAGCGUAUACUAAAAUUGUUGCGGUUGAAACGCUCGUAGUCUAGUAAGGGGAUCGUGCGGGAGCCGUCCGCGGCGGCGUCCGUGGGCUCGGCCCCGCCGAACCCCUUUACAUUCCGACGACCCGUCAUACAGGUGCUCUUCAUUGAGCGUCGCGGGGCGCCCGGAGACCCUUCUACCGUGAGAAAACCGGAGUGCUCCAAGCCUGACUCUAGCCGGUCUUUACGACCGACGGCGAUCGAAAGUUCGCGGCACGAUAUCGAUAUGAGCCACUGGGCGGUGUAUACCGUAUCGGUGGCGGAGACGAAAGGAGACCAAGCGAGGGCGCGGGUAUCCCUGCGGCGAAAGGUGAAAUUUUAAGAUCCCUGGAGGACCGGCGGAGGCGAAAGCGUCCGCCAAGUGGGUCCGGUUACGAUCAGGAACUAAAGUCGGAGGACCGAAGGUGAUCAGAUACCACCGUAGUUCCGACCCUAAACGAUGCCGUCCGGAGAUCCGAAGGAGUGCGAGCGAGUAUCCCUUCGGGCCCUCCCACCGGGAAACCCAGAGACGGGCUCCGGGGGGAGUAUGGUCGCAAGACUGAAACUUAAAGGAAUUGACGGAAGGACACCACCAGGAGUGGAGCCUGCGGCUUAAUUCGACUCAACACGGGGAACCUCACCGGGCCCGGACACUGUGAUGACUGACAGACCGAUCGGCUCUUUCUUGAUUCAGUGGGUGGUGGUGCAUGGCCGUUCCUAGCUCGUGGAGCGAUCUGUCUGGUUAAUUCCGACAACGAACGAGACUCCGACCUAUUAACUAGAGCGCGCAUACGAUUUUGUCUAUGGCGCCGAAACUGCUCGGACCUUCCGCCCCGCCCCCCGGCCUUCGGGUUGUCGGAGCGAGCGAGAAGCGCUCCGUCGGUAGUAGGUGCGUGCGCGGACAUCUUCUUAGCGGGAUCGGCGGCUCGAAGCCGUACGAAAAGGAGCAAUAACAGGUCUGUGAUGCCCUUAGAUGUCCCGGGCUGCACGCGCGCGACAUUGAUGGAAUCAGUGCGAUCUCCCGCCUUAUACGAAAGGGCCGGGUAAUCGUAGAAACUCGAUCACCGUUGGGACCGGGGGCUGCAAUCGUUCCCCGCGAACGUGGAAUUCCCCGUAGUGGCGACUCAUCCGAGGUCGCCGCGAAUAAGUCCCUGCCCUUUGUACACACCGCCCGUCGCUACUACCGAUUGAACGAUCGAGCGAGGCCUUCGGACAGGUCGGCUCUGUCGACGGAUCCUUGUGGUUCGC